CACGUAGGGGGCAAGCGUUGUCCGGAUUUAUUGGGCGUAAAGAGCGUGUAGGCGGCCAGGUAGGUCCGUUGUGAAAACUCGAGGCUCAACCUCGAGACGUCGGCGGAAACCCUCUGGCUAGAGUCCGGAAGAGGAGAGUGGAAUUCCUGGUGUAGCGGUGAAAUGCGCAGAUAUCAGGAAGAACACCCGUGGCGAAGGCGGCUCUCUGGGACGGUACUGACGCUGAGACGCGAAAGCGUGGGGAGCAAACAGG
rnacentral:rRNA from 1 species